rnacentral:rRNA from 1 species
UUUGUUACUUCAAACCAAUCGGACUUCGGUCUGACAUCAAGUGAUAUUGAACAAUUUAGCUGAUCGCACGGUCUAAGAACCGGCGACAUAUCCUUCAAAUGUCUGCCUUAUCAACUUUCGAUGGUAGAUUAUGCGCCUACCAUGGUUGUAACGGGUAACGGAGAAUCAGGGUUUGAUUCCGGAGAGGGAGCCUGAGAAACGGCUACCACAUCCAAGGAAGGCAGCAGGCACGCAAAUUACCCACUCCCGGCACGGGGAGGUAGUGACCAAAAAAAACAAGCUGGUCUCAAUGAGUUCCAGCAUUGGAAUGGGAACAAUUUAAAUCUUUUUUUCGAGAUUUAUUGGAAGGGAAAGUUGGGGGCAGCAGCCCCGGGUAUUUCAGCUCCCAUAGCGUAUUUUAAAUUUGUUGCGGUAAAAAGCUCGUAUUUGGAUCUAGGAUUAGGGCUACGGUCGUUCAGCUUGGACGUACUGUAUGCCCGACUCUUUUCUCUAGUAUUCGAUUGUUGCUCUUAAAUGAGUGACUUUAGUUGCUGGAACUUUUACCUUGAAAAAUUGAAGUGCUCAAAGCAGUUAUUG